GGUUUAGGACCUCUAUAAAACUGUUAUUCACUGCAGUAGCACAUUAAGAACCUUAUAACGGAGAAAAGAGAAAGACCAGCAUCCAUCAGACGUCUCUCCACCAGAGCAGAUGGCUCGUCUGUGGUUCCUAGCAGUGGCACUGGUCAUCCUUUUGUCUGCUGGAAACAGUUUGGCUGGCAGAAACAAGAACAAGAAUCAGAACAAGAACAAGAUUCAGAACAGGAACAAGAAUCAGAACAAGAACAUCCCUAUGAGCAGGCUCACCCCUAUGAGCAAGAAGGCCACCACGAACAAGAACACUCCAAUGGACCCUCAAAGGCUUGCAAAUCUUGUAAAGGGCAUCCUUGACCGGUGAGAGACGGGAUUUUUCUCUAUCAACCAACAUUGAACGGCAACCCUAUCAUGUUCGCUAUGGCUGUGAGCAUCCCAUACAACCAAAAAAGAAAGAAGUUUGACCUUGAUGAAGUCCGUGACGACAGAGCAGCUGUGAGGAACAAGAUUGAGAAAUGCUUGGUGUACACUGGCAAAGACAUAGUUGCAGCCACUGUUCUGAAAUAUGACAAAGUGAAGGAACAAUGUCCCGAUACACCGGUGGAGUGGCGCGAGUUACUGCGAGGCUGCCCGAAUGUUAGAACGUGGGCUGAGUUUGAGUCGAAUCUUUGCCCUUUGGAUGUUAGGAAUAAAAACCUUGACGCAAUGAAAAAGAAAAAUCAAUUAGAGGAUCAUGGAGAGUAUCGUGUUCUGCAGCAUUUUGACACAUUGGUCAAAAGACGUACUAAAAAGUCCCUCUUGUUGUUUUACUCCUGGGGCUCCCCAUGUGACUAUAAAUGUACAAAUCAGAAUUAUCAAAACAACAUUCUCAAUGCAAUAGCCAACAUUAAGAAAUGGAAGAAUUAUGUGUUUGUGUUUUCUAAACCUUACAAACGUCCACGUGAAGUCAACCAACAAACACUUCAGAGCAACGCCCGUACAGCUCUAACGAAUCUUGGAAAUAGAAUCGAUCUGAGCAACAUCUUCCGCUGUGAUAAAGGUAAUAAUGGAAGAACUGCGUGUAAGAGUUGUUCCGAUAAUGGGAAAGUUUCUGAUUUUUGUGUCAGUGGUUAAGAAUAACAGGGUGGAGAUGGUGGACACUUGGUACAAAAAACGUGUUGUUUUGGUGGAUGUGAAAGAGAAGAAAACCCAUGAGACAUUUAUAUAGGUAUUAAAGAAAAAGGGCAGCAAAAAUGCCGAAAAAACAUGAAUCAAAUAUUUAAGUAAAAGUAACACAGGGGUAGAAAAGGAAGAGGUGAGAGGUUAAGGAUGAGAUUUUAAGUUUUAAAGUUACUGUAAUUGGUUUUCAAACUUUUUUUAGGCCACAGUUUGUGAUUUAUGCUCUUGGAUUCCAACUGUUCCCCAAACAACUAUGAAUUAAUUAAAGCAUCUGAUAUCCAAAAGGUUUUACUUUCCACAGACAUUAUUAUAAUAACAAAAAAUGAAUUAUAUGACAUUAUUAUGACAUUUAAAAGACCAAAAGUAUGUUUUUAAGGCCUCAUGUUGUUUACAUCAAUAAAUAAAAAACAACUUGGUGGUGAAGUCAAUACAGUCCAGGCUUUAACAGACCAACAAACAGAUUAGCAUCAACCAAUGAACAUAGGCUGUUAAAAACCACAGUCUAGGGACAUCUGUGUAUGUACAUCAACAUUAAUUAAACUAAAGUAUAAAGGUGCAUGUGAAUAUAAGAUAAUUUAUUAUGUUUAAUAUUUGACAGGAAAAGUCAGAAAAAAAUAUCUCCAUUAAGCAGUCUACAUUUUUAAAGAAAUUUAAUAAAAAAUAUAUAGAUGUAUUGAGUAAAUAUGGAGGUUUAUUAUUCAUACCUGGCAGUUUGUUUUAUAACACUUAACAAUAGGACAUCUCAGCCGGUGCGUAUCUCAGUCCUGACAUUUCUUAACCAAAUGUAAACGACUCUUAUCCAAACUACAUCCUACAUGUAUGUCAUUUGUUUGACACCUUUUAACUGAUAUGGUUUCUGACUUCAUAUUUUGUGUCUCUUGGUGCCGUCAUUGUCAUCUAUACAACUGUAAAUUAAACCAAAUGUUAUAUUUCUGUGGAUCUUUUGCAAUAAAGCUUAGCUGAGUAUC